CAAAAAAUGGCGUCCAUCACAACUGGAGAAGUUGAUACAACUUAGUAGUCGUAAUUUACGAGAUGAAGAGGUCAGCAUGUUGGUAGCUUCAUUUGCCCACAGGAACAUCCUGUCACAAGACAUUUGGUCCUUGGUAUUUGGCUGUGCUGUACAAGUUGACUAGAAGUGCAAGUCGUAUCCGAGUGGUGACAAUGCCUGUAUAUCAACUGUAAAGAUAAGAGACAUUCACAGGUUUCACGAUUUAAAUAGUGAGAUAUUCUAACGCUCGCAGAGACACAGAAUAAUAUUAUAUCUGUCAUUCAUCUGUAUUUGGUUUGAAAAAAAAAACACGACAAACUGGAAAGGGCAAACCUGAGGAAAAA